rnacentral:ncRNA from 2 species
UGAUACCGCCUCGCUUCAGGUGCCAGAUGAUUGACAUCCGUCUGGUGAAACGGGAAGCCGGUAUGUCUGCCAGAUUCAGCAGACCAGUCCGGCGCUGCCCCCGCAACGGUAGGCGAGACGAGGGUUUCUGCAUGUCAGCGCAGCAACCCCGGCAAGGCGUGAAGCCACUGCGCGCAAGCGUGGGAAGGUGCCUUGACCCGGUCAAAGAUGACCCGUCCGCGAGCCCGGAGACCGGCCUGAUGCGUUCACGCGGC